AUUCAAGUUUUUUCUUCCAACAAAGCUCUAGAAACCAUAAUUAAUGAACUUACCUCUUUAGUGAAAUAGUUGAUGGUACCCCUGCCACCACCACCACCACAGAACCCUCCCUAAGUAGCCACCUUUUCACCUUCCAGACCUUCACUUGAGGAUCUUGUCAAACAAAUGAUUGUGAAUAAUCUUCAGUUUCAAUAACGAACAGACUAUAGUAUU
rnacentral:lncRNA from 1 species